AAUGAACGUUGGCGGCGUGGAUUAGGCAUGCAAGUCGAGCGAGAACCAGCCCUUCACGGGUAUCAUUUAGCCCCCGGUCAAUGACCGGGGCCUGCGUGGUACGCGUGAAGGGCUGGGGACAGCGGCGAAAGGGAGAGUAACGCGUAGUUACGUGCCCCAGGGACCGGAAUAGCUGCGGGAAACUGCAGGUAAUGCCGGAUAAUGUCCCCGGACCAAAGGUGUGAUUCCGCCUUGGGAGCGGACUGCGUUGUACUAGCUAGUUGGUAGGGUAAUGGCCUACCAAGGCGAUGAUGCAUAGCGGGUGUGAGAGCAUGACCCGUCUCACUGGGACUGAGACACUGCCCAGACACCUACGGGUGGCUGCAGUCGAGAAUCUUCGGCAAUGCGCGCAAGCGUGACCGAGCGACGCCGCGUGCGGGAUGACGGCCUUCGGGUUGUAAACCGCUUUCGGUUGGGAGGAAAUCACGUGGGGUUCUCCCCACGAGUUGACCUAUCUUCGGAAGAAGGACGGGCUAAGUUCGUGCCAGCCGCCGCAGUAAGAC
rnacentral:rRNA from 1 species